GAUGAACGCUGGCGGCGUGCUUAACACAUGCAAGUCGAACGGAAAGGCCCAAGCUUGCUUGGGUACUCGAGUGGCGAACGGGUGAGUAACACGUGGGUGAUCUGCCCUGCACUUCGGGAUAAGCCUGGGAAACUGGGUCUAAUACCGGAUAGGACCACAUUUUGGAUGGUGUGGUGGAGAGUUUUUCGGUGUGGGGUGAGCUCGCGGCCUAUCAGCUUGUUGGUGGGGUAAUGGCCUACCAAGGCGUCGACGGGUAGCCGGCCUGGGAGGGUGUACGGCCACAUUGGGACUGAGAUACGGCCCAGACUCCUACGGGAGGCAGCAGUGGGGAAGAUUGCACGAUGGGCGCAAGCCUGAUGCAGCGACGCCGCGUGGGGGAUGACGGCCUUCGGGUUGUAAACUCCUUUCGCUAGGGACGAAGCGUUAUGUGACGGUACCUGGAGAAGAAGCACCGGCUAACUACGUG
rnacentral:rRNA from 1 species